GCCAGCCGCUCAGAACUACAAGGAAUUGCGGGCCCGGCACAAGCGUGGAGUAUGUGGUUUAAUUCGAUGCAACGCGAAGAACCUUACCUGGUCUUGACAUCCCGGAGACCCUUAGGAACUAGGGGUGCUUCCAUCUGGAAGAAUCUGGAGACAGGUGCUGCAUGGCUGUCGUCAGCUCGUGUCGUGAGAUGUUGGGUUAAGUCCCGCAACGAGCGCAACCCUUGCCUUUAGUUGCCAGCAGUUCGGCUGGGCACUCUAAAGGGACUGCCGGUGUUAAACCGGAGGAAGGUGGGGAUGACGUCAAGUCCUCAUGGCCUUUAUGACCAGGGCUACACACGUACUACAAUGGCCGAUACAAAGGGCAGCGACACUGCGAGGUGAAGCCAAUCCCGUAAAAUCGGUCUCAGUCCGGAUUGGAGUCUGCAACUCGACUCCAUGAAGUUGGAAUCGCUAGUAAUCGUGGAUCAGCAUGCCACGGUGAAUACGUUCCCGGGCCUU
rnacentral:rRNA from 1 species